rnacentral:rRNA from 1 species
AACGUAGGGGGCGAGCGUUGUCCGGAGUUACUGGGCGUAAAGCGCGCGUAGGCGGUGCGGUAAGUCAGGGGUUAAAGGCUGCAGCUCAACUGCAGUAAGGCCUUUGAUACUAUCGUGCUAGAGUGUCAGAGAGGAUGGCGGAAUUCCCGGUGUAGCGGUGAAAUGCGUAGAUAUCGGGAGGAAUACCAGUGGCGAAGGCGGCUAUCUGGCUGGUAACUGACGCUGAGGUGCGAGAGCGUGGGGAGCAAACAGG